GUGUUUGGUUUGAAAGGCAGGCAUUGAGAGCAGCACCUCCUGCAACGAGUGGUGGCUCCAGGGUUGCUAUAGAAACAGGUGGAGGUUAUGCAACUGUCCUUCCUCACAUGCUUGGGGAACCUGUGAAGUAAUUCAUCCGGGCCUCCGGAAGUCUUCUUCAAACAGCACAGAGGUAACGUAUUGGAGGUAACAUGUGUUCAUGGUUUAGAGUCAACCGAGCUGCGGUUAUGCCAGGAGCUGCUGUGUCUUCCAUGAGUGGCCAGGUGGGUUUAUCUACCGUUCAGUCUGGAUCCAGGGUCAGGUUAAGAUUUUGUUUGCAAAUUGACCCAUUUCUGUAGACAAGCAGGGUCAAGAACAUGGCAGGUAUGUAGAGCCCAGCAAAGAUCUACUCUGUUGAGAAGCAUGUGGGCCACAGAAUAGCCAUCCAUGGCAAUGGCUCAAGCCAACCCUUAGCAUCCUCUGAUGGGGCUUCGUGGAGCCUCGUCCUGUGGAUGGAACCUAGGGCCAUGUUUCACCCUCCCCUUCCCAGCGACUACCUACCAACGUGGGAUUUAAACAAAGGCUUAACUUAGUGAUGAGGCUUGACUUCUGCUUGAAUCUUCCUUUGGAACAAUUGGUAUAACAGCUAUUUGUGUUUUUAGAAAGAUAGUUCAGUAAACAAAAUUGGGAGGCUAAAUGAGAUAAUUGAAUAUGGAAAAAAAUGAAGGAAUGUGAAAGAUUCCUUUCCUUAGCAGUGUGUUAUUGCCUUGCUUUUUUCGUUUUUUGGUUUUUCAUUUUUUCAUUACUGCCAUUGAUCUUUUGAGAGAAUUUAAGUUGAAGUCAGAACUCAGGGAACCUUGUCCGGCUAGUCUGUUUAUCUGGGUGGGGGUCCCUGGCGAUGUUGAAGAACAAAAAGCUACUGAAGUUGACCUUCCAGGGGACAGUCCAUCAGAAGGCUUAAAAACAUUUGUUACGAUUUUCAUUUUUAAAUCUUCCCAGUGGUCAAUCGGAACCACUGUUAUGGAUUUGAUUGUAAAUGGAAAGGAUCGAGAUCAGUCACUUCACCUGCUACAAAAACAAAAUGUGUCAGCAAGAGUCACUGAUUUAGUUAGAAGAGGAUGAGCAAUAAAAGUGAGAUGAUGAAAAUAAUCUGCUUUCAGGUGAAAAGAACUAUCUCCCGUGAGAUAUUAAUAUUUUUCCCACUGCUGGAUUUAGAUGUUCAUUUCAGGACAGCACCUUUGUAUCAGCUUCCACGAGGUAAGACUACAGAUGGGGCUGGUUCCAAUUCGCUCAAUGUCAUCUGGCACAAAGCAAGUCACAGCCUUUUAAUAUUCUGUACUAAUUGGUAGAAUGUGAGUUGUUGCUUGAUGCUGUUAGGACUUUAUUCCUGUUUACAUUUCAUUCCUUGCCUGUAAAGACUUUUUUUUCCCACGUGGACUCUAGAUCAUUUCAUAAAUGAAUAACCGCUGGCAAUACAUAAGUUCUGACAUAACCAGAGUGCCUAGUGAGUCUGUGCAGUAGCAUUGGGAAGGAUGUGUCCCUGGAAUAUGGCAACAGGUGAGGGGAUAUUUUGGGGCAGGUGGAGCUCGUGGAAAACCCCUGAGUUAAAGAGUGGCGGGUCCCACGGUGUGGCCCUCUGUUUUCUUCUGCCUCAAGGACAGUGCAAUGCUGCCACCAUUAUUACCAUUGUCGUUCCAGUCACAGGGGUAAGAUCCAACUUUCAGCCAAACUUGACUUUCUUGGUGCCUGCCCUUUCCCCCCUUAAAUCUGCCUCGUCAACUGUGACUGACUCAAGAAACCAGCUUUCUUGUAAAGCAAAUGAGCACAGCCCAACGGGGAAUUAUUUUGCAUGAAAUACACCGUCCCUCCCAUCUCUCUUCCCACUUCCGGUGAGUUUGCCCAACGCCCCAUGCAGCUCCAUUUCCUACCUCCCUUCCUACCUGCCGAGCAGUCAGGGCCCUGGUAGCCCUCUUCACAGAAGCAGAGCCCCUCCUGGCAGUGUCCUCGCCCGCUGCAGGCAUUCAGACACCGCUGCUGGCUGCAGUCCUCACCCACGUAGCCCUCCUGGCAGAAACAGGUGCCAUUGGUGCAGAUCCCCUUCCCCGAACAGUCCCCGGGGCACCUCAGCUCGCUGCAGUCCUUGCCCGUGUAAGGCUCUUCGCAGACACACUCCCCGUCCACACAGAGCCCCCGGGAGCUGCAGUCCGUUGGGCACCGGAGCUCUGAGCAGUCGCCCCCGCUGUACUCGCUGUCACAGAUGCACUGGCCGUCCACACACACGCCCCGGCUGGAGCAGUCCAGGGGGCAGUACGGUUCAGAGCAGUUCUUGCCGAACCAGCCUUCAUUGCAGAUGCAGCCGCAGGACUGGAGGCUGAAGUUGCCAUGGCCGCUGCAGUGAGGGAUAUAGUCCAGUUGUCCUGCAACGGCCAAGGAGAAGGUCAAAGGGCAGCAGCGGCACCUCGGCAUGAAUCAAAUAAACUAAUUAAGCAAACACAAGCCCAGUACCUGCUUGGCAUGCUUCUCUGCACUUGGCUCUGGGGACAAAUUUUUCCACGUCUGCCGGGGAGCCUGAGGGGAGGCUGGUAGAAUGCCCACUCAGACGCUGCCCAGAGUUCAUGUCCAUGAACACCUAUGACUUCCCCAUAUUCCUCAGCUCCGCUGAAAAGGCAAAGUAGCCUGAAAGUUCUCACUGAAGAACAGGAAGAAUGGGAGGCUGAACAACUAACUGGACUUUCUCUUCUCGUCUUCACAAUUGUUUAUUUACAGUUUCAGUUUUGGGGAGGCGAAAGAGGUAUGGAAACCUGUGGAAUAUUUCACUACUCGAAAGCCUCCCCUAAUCUUGGUAUGUGUCUGCUACCCUCUGGACACGUGGGCCAUCCAGCCCCGUUAAAGGUCAUCCCUGCUGCCUCCUGCUUCUUCUCUGUGAAGGCCUUGACAUAUCAGACCCUGUAGAGGUGAAAACUAGAACCCAAGUCAGUAAAGACAAAUCCCUCUUCUCAUCAAAGAAUGAAUGGCCUGGGUCUACGAUACCUGCUGGAUGAGAGGACUGAGCACGAAGGAAACUGACACAAUUUCUAUAUAUUCAGGGUCAGCUGAUAACUGUUGCUUCCGUGGUGCUCACCGGCAGGCAGGCUUUCACCUGGAGAGCCCAAAUCUUAUACUAAAUAACCCCUGCCAUUCUAGCGUAAUCAGCAUUGUUAGGUGGGGAAGGAAGGCACGGGUUAGUUCCAUAACUUGCUUAAACACCAGCUAGUAAGUAGCAGAGCCAGGGUUUGAACUCAGGGAGUCUGGCUCUGAAGAUGUAAUGACUUCUCCCAGAGAGGUCAAGUCAGAAAUUCGUAAGUGUCUCUAGUCGGGAGUGGGUGAGGCGAGACGUAAAUAAAUCUCUUGGACACUCAGCCUUUGGGGGCGUGGAGUGAGCUCUGUGAUUGUGUGUGAGCAGGUGUGUGUGUGUGUGUGUG